GCUGACUCUCUUUUCAGACUCAGCCCACCUGCACCCAGGUGAUUAAAAGCUUUAUUGCUCACACAAAGCCUGUUUGGUGGUCUCUUCACACGGACACACAUGAAAUUUGGUGCCGUGACUCGGAUCGGGGGUCCUCCCUUGGGAGAUCAAUCCCCUGUCCUCCUGUUCUUUGCUCCGUGAGAAAGAUCCACCUACGACCUCAGGUCCUCAGACCGACCAGCCCAACGAACAUCUCACCAAUUUUAAAUCAGGACCUACCAGUCUGCCCUGCUCAUACUUGAUCUGGAUGAGACUGAUACCCUGCGAGACGCAACAGAAUCAGCUCCUGGGAUUGUGUUAGCAGAAUGACGGGAGUGUGAGAUCCACCACAUGGCGAGGCACCCCAGGAACCUGUUUUCUUCUU
rnacentral:lncRNA from 10 species